AGAUUGAACGCUGGCGGCAUGCCUUACACAUGCAAGUCGAACGGUAGAGGGAGCAAUCCUUCGAGAGUGGCGAACGGGUGAGUAAUAUAUCGGAACGUGCCCAGUCGUGGGGGAUAACGUAGAGAAAUUUACGCUAAUACCGCAUACGAUCUAAGGAUGAAAGCGGGGGACCUCGCAAGGGGCCUCGCGCGAUUGGAGCGGCUGAUAUCAGAUUAGGUUGUUGGUGAGGUAAAAGCUCACCAAGCCGACGAUCUGUAGCUGGUUUGAGAGAACGACCAGCCACACUGGGACUGAGACACGGCCCAGACUCCUACGGGAGCAGCAGUGGGAAUUUGGACAAUGGGCGAAAGCCUGAUCCAGCAAUGCCGCGUGCAGGAAGAAGGCCUCGGUGUAACUGCUUUGUACGGAACGAAAGGA
rnacentral:rRNA from 1 species